rnacentral:rRNA from 1 species
UACGUAGGGUGCAAGCGUUGUCCGGAAUUAUUGGGCGUAAAGAGCUCGUAGGCGGCUUGUCACGUCGGGUGUGAAAGCCCGGGGCUUAACCCCGGGUCUGCAUUCGAUACGGGCUAGCUAGAGUGUGGUAGGGGAGAUCGGAAUUCUUGGUGUAGCGGUGAAAUGCGCAGAUAUCAGGAGGAACACCGGUGGCGAAGGCGGGUCUCUGGGCCGAUACUGACGCUGAGGAGCGAAAGCGUGGGGAGCGAACAGG